UCAAGUAAUUAAGUGCAUGUGGUGGAUGCCUUGGCAGUCAGAGGCGAUGAAAGACGUGAUAGCCUGCGAAAAGCUCCGGGGAGGCGGCAAAUAUCCUUUGAUCCGGAGAUGUCUGAAUGGGGGAACCCACCUACUUUAAGGUAGGUAUUGCAACAUGAAUACAUAGUGUUGCAAGGCGAACGAGGGGAAGUGAAACAUCUCAGUACCCUUAGGAAAAGAAAUCAAUUGAGAUUCCCUCAGUAGCGGCGAGCGAACGGGGAUCAGCCCAUUAAGUUAUGUGUGUUUUAGUGGAACGCUCUGGGAAGUGCGAACGUAGAGGGUGAUAUUCCCGUACACGAAAGGGCACACAUAAUGAUGACGAGUAGGGCGAGGCACGUGAAACCUUGUCUGAAUAUGGGGGGACCAUCCUCCAAGGCUAAAUACUCCUGACUGACCGAUAGUGAACCAGUACCGUGAGGGAAAGGCGAAAAGAACCCCUGUGAGGGGAGUGAAAUAGAUCCUGAAACCGCAUGCAUACAAGCAGUGGGAGCACCUUCGUGGUGUGACUGCGUACCUUUUGUAUAAUGGGUCAGCGACUUAUAUUCAGUAGCGAGGUUAACCGUAUAGGGGAGCCGUAGAGAAAUCGAGUCUUAAUAGGGCGUUUAGUUGCUGGGUAUAGACCCGAAACCAGGCGAUCUAUCCAUGAGCAGGUUGAAGGUUGGGUAACACUAACUGGAGGACCGAACCCACUGUCGUUGAAAAGCCAGGGGAUGACUUGUGGAUAGGGGUGAAAGGCUAAUCAAGCCUGGUGAUAGCUGGUUCUCCCCGAAAGCUAUUUAGGUAGCGCCUCGGACGAAUACCAUAGGGGGUAGAGCACUGUUUCGGCUAGGGGGUCAUCCCGACUUACCAAACCGAUGCAAACUCCGAAUACCUAUGAGUACUAUCCGGGAGACAGACUGCGGGUGCUAACGUCCGUAGUCAAGAGGAAAACAAUCCAGACCGCCAGCUAAGGCCCCAAAAUCAUAGUUAAGUGGGAAACGAUGUGGGAAGGCAUAGACAGCUAGGAGGUUGGCUUAGAAGCAGCCACCCUUUAAAGAAAGCGUAAUAGCUCACUAGUCGAGUCGGCCUGCGCGGAAGAUGUAACGGGGCUAAAACUAUGUGCCGAAGCUGCGGAUGUAUACUUUGUAUACGUGGUAGGGGAGCGUUCUGUAAGCCGAUGAAGGUGUGUUGAGAAGCAUGCUGGAGGUAUCAGAAGUGCGAAUGCUGACGUGAGUAACGACAAAACGGGUGAAAAACCCGUUCGCCGAAAGACCAAGGGUUCCAGUCCAACGUUAAUCGGGGCUGGGUGAGUCGACCCCUAAGGCGAGGCCGAAAGGCGUAGUCGAUGGGAAAAUGGUUAAUAUUCCAUUACUUCUGUGUAAUGCGAUGAGAGGACGGAGAAGGCUAAAUCAGCCUGGCGUUGGUUGUCCAGGUGAAAGGAUGUAGGCAUGUAUCUUAGGCAAAUCCGGGGUACUCUAUGCUGAGAUCUGAUAGCAAGCUGUACUUGUACAGCGAAGUGGUUGAUGCCAUGCUUCCAGGAAAAGUCUCUAAGCUUCAGUUACACAGGAAUCGUACCCGAAACCGACACAGGUGGUCAGGUCGAGUAGACCAAGGCGCUUGAGAGAACUCUGCUGAAGGAACUAGGCAAAAUGGUACCGUAACUUCGGGAGAAGGUACGCUGUUGUUGGUGAUGGAACUCGCUUCCUGAGCUGACGACAGCCGCAGAAACCAGGCCGCUGCAACUGUUUAUUAAAAACAUAGCACUCUGCAAACACGAAAGUGGACGUAUAGGGUGUGAUGCCUGCCCGGUGCUGGAAGGUUAAUUGAUGGGGUUAGCGUAAGCGAAGCUCUUGAUCGAAGCCCCAGUAAACGGCGGCCGUAACUAUAACGGUCCUAAGGUAGCGAAAUUCCUUGUCGGGUAAGUUCCGACCUGCACGAAUGGCAUAAUGAUGGCGGCGCUGUCUCCAGCAGAGGCUCAGUGAAAUCGAAAUCGCUGUGAAGAUGCAGUGUACCCGCGGCUAGACGGAAAGACCCCGUGAACCUUUACUGCAGCUUGACACUGAACUUUGACCUUACUUGUGUAGGAUAGGUGGGAGGCUUUGAAGCUGGAACGCUAGUUCCAGUGGAGCCGUCCUUGAAAUACCACCCUGGUAAUGUUGAGGUUCUAACUCUGUCCCGUGAUCCGGGACGAGGACCGUGUCUGGUGGGUAGUUUGACUGGGGCGGUCUCCUCCUAAAGAGUAACGGAGGAGUACGAAGGUGCGCUCAGCGUGGUCGGAAAUCACGCGUAGAGUAUAAAGGCAAAAGCGCGCUUAACUGCGAGACCCACAAGUCGAGCAGGUACGAAAGUAGGUCUUAGUGAUCCGGUGGUUCUGUAUGGAAGGGCCAUCGCUCAACGGAUAAAAGGUACUCUGGGGAUAACAGGCUGAUACCGCCCAAGAGUUCAUAUCGACGGCGGUGUUUGGCACCUCGAUGUCGGCUCAUCUCAUCCUGGGGCUGAAGCAGGUCCCAAGGGUAUGGCUGUUCGCCAUUUAAAGAGGUACGCGAGCUGGGUUUAGAACGUCGUGAGACAGUUCGGUCCCUAUCUACCGUGGGCGCUGGAAAUUUGAGAGGAUCUGCUCCUAGUACGAGAGGACCAGAGUGGACGAACCUCUGGUGUACCGGUUGUGACGCCAGUCGCAUCGCCGGGUAGAUAUGUUCGGAAGGGAUAACCGCUGAAAGCAUCUAAGCGGGAAGCCUACCUCAAGAUAAGAUUUCCCUAGGACUUUAUGUCCUCUAAAGAGCCGUUCGAGACUAGGACGUUGAUAGGUUGGAUGUGGAAGCAUAGUGAUAUGUGAAGCUGACCAAUACUAAUUGCUCGUGAGGCUUGACUAU
rnacentral:rRNA from 1 species